AACGAACGCUGGCGGAGUGCCUAAUACAUGCAAGUCGAGCGAGAAAGUUUUCGGAUGAGUACAGCGGCGCACGGGUGAGUAACACGUAGGUAACGUGCCUUUAAGUGGGGGACAACAUCGUGAAAACGGUGCUAAUACCGCAUAUGUAAGUAAUUACAAAGAUGGCCUCUGCUUGCAAGCUAUCGCUUAGAGAACGGCCUGCGGCCUAUUAGCUAGUUGGUGGGGUAAUGGCCUACCAAGGCAACGAUAGGUAUCCGGUCUGAGAGGAUGAUCGGACACACUGGAACUGAGACACGGUCCAGACUCCUACGGGAGGCAGCAGUAGGGAAUAUUGCGCAAUGGGGGAAACCCUGACGCAGCAACUCCGCGUGAGUGAGGAAGGCCUUCGGGUUGUAAAGCUCUGUUAUUAGGGAAAAAUGGCAAUGUAGGUAAUAUUUAUGUUGCGUGAUGGUACCUAAUGAGGAAGCACCGGCUAACUUCGUGCCAGCAGCCGCCGUAAUAC
rnacentral:rRNA from 1 species